rnacentral:rRNA from 1 species
UGAGGAAUUUUGCGCAAUGGGAGCAAUCCUGACGCAGCAACGCCGCGUGGGUGAAGAAGGCCUUCGGGUCGUAAAGCCCUGUCAGGCGGGAAGAAGCCCCUGGGGGGAAUACCCUGCGGGGGGUGACGGUACCGCCAGAGGAAGCACCGGCUAACUCCGUGCCAGCAGCCGCGGUAAUACGGAGGGUGCGAGCGUUAUUCGGAAUUACUGGGCGUAAAGCGCGUGCAGGCGGGAGGACAAGUCUGAUGUGAAAGCCCGGGGCUCAACCCCGGAAGGGCAUUGGAAACUGUCUUUCUUGAGUGUUGGAGAGGAAGGGGGAAUUCCCGGUGUAGAGGUGAAAUUCGUAGAGAUCGGGAGGAAUACCAGUGGCGAAGGCGCCCUUCUGGACGACAACUGACGCUGAGACGCGAAAGCGUGGGGAGCAAACAGG